rnacentral:rRNA from 1 species
GACGAACGCUGGCGGCGUGCUUAACACAUGCAAGUCGAACGGAAAGGCCCGGCUUUUGUGGGGUGCUCGAUUGGCGAAGGGGUGAGUAACACGUGAGUAACCUGCCCUUGACUUUGGGAUAACUUCAGGAAACUGGGGCUAAUACCGGAUAUGAUCUCCUGCUGCAUGGUGGGGGUUGGAAAGUUUCGGCGGUUGGGGAUGGACUCGCGGCUUAUCAGCUUGUUGGUGGGGUAGUGGCUUACCAAGGCUUUGACGGGUAGCCGGCCUGAGAGGGUGACCGGCCACCUUGCGACUGAGGUACGGCCCAGACUCCUACCGGCGGCAGCAGUCGGAAAUAUUGCACAAUGGGGGGACGCCUGAUGCAGCAACGCCGCGUGCGGGAUGACCGCCUUCGGGUUAUAAACCGCUUUCGCAUGUGACGAAGAGUGAGUGACGGUAAUGGGUAAAGAAGCAACGGCUAACUACGUG